rnacentral:RNase_P_RNA from 1 species
CGAGUCGGUCGGGCGGUCGCGUCGGGCACCCUCGGGUGCCCGCCGAGGAACGUCCGGGCUCCACAGGGCAAGGUGGUGGUUAACAGCCACCCGGGGUGACCCGCGGGACAGUGCCACAGAAAACAGACCGCCCUCGGUCUCCGGACCGGGGGUAAGGGUGAAACGGUGGUGUAAGAGACCACCAGCGCCGCCGGUGACGGCGGCGGCUAGGUAAACCCCACCUGGAGCAAGGUCAGACAGGCUGUGUUCGAGGGCUGCUCGCCCGAUUCUCCUCGCGAGAAGCACAGCCGGGUAGACCGCUCGAGCCCUGCGGCAACGCAGGGCCUAGAUGGAUGACCGUCGCCCGCGCGGGGGCAACCGCGCGCGGGAACAGAACCCGGCGUACAGACCGGCUCGUCCG